UGGGGAAUAUUGGACAAUGGGCGCAAGCCUGAUCCAGCAAUACCGCGUGAGUGAUGAAGGUCUUCGGAUUGUAAAGCUCUUUUAGUGGGGAAGAUAAUGACGGUACCCACAGAAAAAGCACCGGCAAACUUCGUGCCAGCAGCCGCGGUAAUACGAAGGGUGCUAGCGUUGUUCGGAAUCACUGGGCGUAAAGCGUACGUAGGCGGCUUAGUAAGUCGAUUGUGAAAUCCCCAGGCUCAACUUGGGAACUGCAAUCGAUACUGCUUCGCUAGAGUGUGGUGGGGGAUAGUGGAAUUCCUAGUGUAGGGGUGAAAUCCGUAGAUAUUAGGAGGAACACCGGUGGCGAAAGCGACUAUCUACGCCAAUACUGACGCUAAGGUACGAAAGCGUGGGGAGCAAA
rnacentral:rRNA from 1 species